CCCAAGUUCUAGAAGAAUGUGAAGGUUUCAGGAACUUCCACAUUGUCAAGACAUGGAGGAGGGGAGACGGAAUUUGAUGAUGAAGAUUACCACAAAGACAGCCACUGUUCUGGUUCUCACAGCCUCUUCUGUUUUGGUGUUUCUUCCAGGCAUGUCAGAGAUACUGCAGUCUGCCCAUGUCUUGCCUAGGCUGCAAGCCCUGUGCCUAGAAGCUGCCAUCCCUGUAAGAAGCUGCCAUCCCUCUCUACUGUGCCUCCUGCUGGCAUGGGAACAAGUGGCAGCCCAGCCAGUCUCCCCAUGAUGAGCAAAGCAACUGGAGUCCUGGCUUCUGGCAGACAAUGUUAACGACAAUUGACGGGAGGCUCCAAACCCAGGUUUACUGAGAGGUAAGAUCACAGACAUCUUUAGCACGGCUACCUCAACCCAUAUGGGCACAGGAAGUUCAACAGGCCACCCAGGAGGUAAGGCAUCUGUGGUAUUCACACAUGUCCUUCUUCUCACAUGUAACCACCUUUUCUGAAAAUUCUUUCCCAGUGCCUAAUGUUUACCUUCCAAUUUCCAGCACAAAUGAGAUGAAUAGCAAUGACAAAGACUCUCUUUGAACUUUAGUUGGGCUCCUCUGAGCCCAUUUCUCAAGUAGGCCUCGACCUUGGCUUUUGUGUCCUUCCUCGGGGAGCCUAGUUUUAGAAAGAAUCCUGCUACAUCAACUCCCAAACCUUGAUAUCUGAUCACCCAAGCUCCCCAUCUCUGCCCCUGAUGACAUUUAGUCCUUUCUUGUCCUUAACAAGAGCAAUGCCAGGCCAGUUUAACAAGAACCCCUAUCCUUGAUGUCUCCACUUCAUGAUUUUCCAUCUGCUGACACCCUUGUUCUGCUCCUUGGCUAUAUCCCCAGCUACCUUUGCUGUAUUCAGAGUUGUGCUCAGUCUCUCUCCCCUCUUGCAAUAGAGUUGACUCAUGUUACAAUAGUCCUGCAUAAAGCCUUCCUUACCAUUUUAAGGAGCAUCUCGUGAAGAACUUUUCUUUUACAGCAACCUGCAUCACAGUCUUUUCCAAAAAUGCUCUUUUUUCAAGAAAGGUAGCAAGCAACCCAUAGUUCCCUCAUCUUCCAUUCAAAUAGUCCAAUGACCACCACAUUCCACACAGACCUUCUUCCCCACCCUCCUGGCAAAGUCUGUCUCUUUUGCCUGAGGAUCUGAUGGUUUUGCUGAUUAAUGCAAAUGGUACUAAAUACCCUAAAUGUUUCAUUUGAAAGUUAAGUGGAAAAGCAAAUUG
rnacentral:lncRNA from 1 species